UACGGGGGGAGCAAGCGUUGUUCGGAUUUACUGGGCGUAAAGGGCGCGUAGGCGGCGUAACAAGUCACUUGUGAAAUCUCCGGGCUUAACCCGGAGCGGCCAAGUGAUACUGUUGUGCUAGAGUGCGGAAGGGGCUACUGGAAUUCUCGGUGUAGCGGUGAAAUGCGUAGAUAUCUGGAGGAACACCGGUGGCGAAGGCAGCUCGCUGGGACGGUACUGACGCUGAGACGCGAAAGCGUGGGGAGCAAACAGG
rnacentral:rRNA from 1 species